AUAAAUAAACACAACUUCCAUAGUUUUACAGAAGAAUCUUCAACAUCAAGACGAUGCUAAACGCUAACGACAGUAUCCAGCAACCCGAGAAGAAAAAUGGAAUCCACGAGUCGUGAGGUACGACGAGUAUUAACUACAUAUUGGUAUACAUGCUCCUCCAUCUGGAUUUCGUUUUUCCUUCCAUAUUUUUCCAGUAACACGUAGCUUAAGCUCUUUUCUGUCGCCUCCAGAGAAGAAAAGUGCCAUGUUACGUUGUAUAAUAAGCCCGUCAUGGCUAUCCCUAACUUUCCUAUGACUAUCUCUUAUGCUCCGAGGGGUACCCUCCCAGAUAAGUUUCCUUCCAUUGCCCCCGACUUCAAGGCUGUAGCUGUAGUUUCGAGCAUCUGUCUCAUCUCCCAUAAACCGAAGAA
rnacentral:misc_RNA from 1 species